CGCCGUAACCGCCGCCGGAGCUUCCUCCUCCGUAACCGCCGCCGGAGCUUCCUCCUCCGUAGCCGCCGCCGUAACUUCCGCCGCCGCGUCCACCGCCUCCGGAACUAAACGGGGUGAGGUCACAUUCGGUUAUCUCUAACGUUGGAAAACGAUGGCGCUAACACCCAUUAUGGAGAUUAACCACUUUUCAUCGGGUUUUUAACUCUAAGUCUUGAGGAAUACAACGGUGAAUGCAAGGGCAAACAGUGUACUGUGGAGAUACAAAAUGUUUUGAGACAUCUGUGACCAGACAUGUCACGUGUGAAUAUACUGUUGAAUUUCAAAG